GAUGAACGCUGACAGAAUGCCUAACACAUCAGCGAUGGAUUGGUGGCGGACGGGGGAGUAACGCGUAAAGAACUUGCCUCACAGCUAGGGACAACAUUUGGAAACGAAUGCUAAUACAUAAUACUGUGAGAGAGCUUUGCGUCCCAUUAGCUAGUUGGAGAGGUAACGGCUCACCACGGCGAUGAUGGGUAGCCGGCCUGAGAGUGUGAUAGGCCACAAGGGGACUGGGAAACGACCCGUACGCAUACGUGAGCAAGCGGUGGAGAAUAUUUGAAAAAGGGCCACAGUCUGAUCCAGCAAUUCGGUGUGCAAGAUUAAGUUUUCGGAAUGUAAAGUGCUUUCAGUAGGGAAGCGGUACCAACAGAAGAAGUGACGGCUAAAUACGUGCCAGCAGCCGCGGUAAUAC
rnacentral:rRNA from 1 species